GUGCAUGCUUCGGUAGCACAUAUACUAACAUUGGAACAGAGAAGAUUAGCAUGGCCCCUGUGGCAAAGAUGACAUACAAAUUCAUGAAGCACUCCAUAUUAAA
ensembl:snRNA U6 U6 spliceosomal RNA